GGAUAUAUCUCAAGAAGAUAUAAAUAAAGGAGAAGAAGAUGCUCGCUUGGAGAUAUCUGAAGAAGAAAACAUUAUUAAUAAUAGAAAACGA